rnacentral:tRNA from 1 species
CCUUUGAUAGCUCAAGUGGUAGGGUGGAGGACUGUAGAUCCUUAGGUCACUGGUUCAAUUCCAGCUCGAAGGA